rnacentral:misc_RNA from 1 species
AAAGUCGUAACAAGGUUUCCGUAGGUGAACCUGCGGAAGGAUCAUUAAGAUAUUAAAGUUGUGCAUGGCGGUCCAAGGCAAUUGCCAGACCGCGGCCUAGACGCAACACCCUCUGCGUAUCUACCGCGUUGCUUUGGCGGGACGGCAGCCAACAGCUCUGCUGGGAACCUGUCCGCAGGGCCCCUCAAGGCCCCGUGAGUGCCCGCCAGAGGACCAUCAAACUCGUGUUAAACCGUGAUGUAUGAGCUUUACAAGCAAUAAGUUAAAACUUUCAACAACGGAUCUCUUGGUUCUC